UGACGGGUUUGGGUGGAUA
rnacentral:siRNA from 1 species